AAGAGGUAAGAGCCGGCUUAGUUACCCACAUUUAGGCCUUGUUAGUUAUGUGUCAGUUAUGCGCAUUGUCUUCUGUCUUCCGGUUUGUAUUUUCACAGCGUGAAGGGGUUGAGCCUGUUUCCGACGAAAUAACCCAGCUGUUGCGUUACAGCCAAUGGGCGUUUUUUGUGUCUUCUACUGGAGAGAGCGGUUCAGCGGCACAGUGCACUUCUUCAGCGUAAUAAAGGUUAAGGAGUCAGGCACUGCAUCUUUCAGCUACAGUGAAACGCGAGGCCGCGGUCUGAGGCUCGUAGUUCCCCGGUGAACAGCAGCCCAUCACCGGUUCAGAUUUCGGCGACAAACCGGCACGAGAAUUAGCACUAUUUAAUCGAAAAGCGAUUACAGAGACUGGUUGAACACAUGUAAAUUAAAAUUCAACUUUUAAAUUUUCAAUUUUUAUUUCUAAACUGAUUGUUAAACGAGUUUAAUGGUAUG